rnacentral:rRNA from 1 species
AACGAACGCUGGCGGCAUGCCUAACACAUGCAAGUCGAACGGAUGUAGCAAUACAUUAGUGGCGCACGGGAUAGUAACGCGUGGGAAUCUGCCUCAUAGUUCGGAAUAACCCCGGGAAACUGGUGCGAAUACCGGAUACGCCCUUCGGGGAAAGUUUUUCGCUAUGAGAGGAGCCCGCGUUGGAUUAGCUAGUUGGUGAGGUAAUGGCUCACCAAGGCGACGAUCCAUAGCUGGUCUGAGAGGACGAUCAGCAUCACUGGGACUGAGACACGGCCCAGACUCCUACGGGAGGCAGCAGUGGGGAAUAUUGGACAAUGGGGGAAACCCUGAUCCAGCAAUGCCGCGUGGGUGAUGAAGGUCUUCGGAUUGUAAAGCCCUUUUGGCAGGGACGAUGAUGACGGUACCUGCAGAAUAAGCUCCGGCUAACUUCGUGCCAGCCGCCGCAGUAA